rnacentral:lncRNA from 1 species
GGCAAAAAGGCCACUGCGUUCCCUGCAAUGUGCGACAAGCUGUCAGAUAAAAGUGAAAUCGAGAACAGGGUAGUGGUUGAUGGCAACCUCAUCACCAGCAGAGGACCAGGAACUUCCAUGGAGUUUGCUCUAGGAAUUGUUGAGAAGUUUUUCGGGCGCAAGAAAGCAAUAGAGCUUGCUAAGGUAAUGCUUUUUGUUCACCCUUAAGAGUUUUUGGUAAGCGUUAAAUGUGUACCUCCUUACUUUUGGGACACUACUAGCAAAAGCAGAAAGCUGGAGUCAUAUUUGAGUAUGAAUCCUUUGUGAGGUUAUGUUCAAGAUUUUGUAUAUAAAUAAAUGUGUAAACGACUGAAUUAUGAUAAAGCUAUGGUUAGUAUCUCUAAUUUCGCUGUCUAUAAAAGAGUUACUUCUCAUAUUAUUAUUUUUCUUUUUAAACAAAAAGUACAGCUAAUCUUAGCCAAAGUUUGAUACCUAAACCUCUCUCUCGAGUUGAACUUGAAACCCUUCUUAGUACUACAAUUCGGCUAAAACAGCACUUCUUAGCAUACACCCCAGACGUUAAUGGUGUUUUUGGGCCUUAGGCAGUAUAGUCUUUGGCAGUAGGAUAUUUUUUCUUAUAUUUUUUGUAUUUACUUGAACUAAUUGGCAUUGGAAUUACUAAGAAAGUGUCUGCUAAGUGCCAAUCUCCUCAAAAAUACAAAUUAAAAAUUCAAGAACUUGAUGUAUUGAGUUGAAGUUAUGAAGGAAAGUGGCUGCUAGCCAAGUGCCCAUCUCCUCAAAUAGGAUAAGAAUGAAAAACAAAGUGUUUGCAUUCCUUUGAAAGGAAUAUACAAUAGCUGAGGAAUGUUCUGUAAUGGGACAACUCGACAUAUCUCAUUAAUCGGUUUAAUUAAGAGAGUCGAUUUUCUCACUCCUCUUUUGUUUAUUUACACUCUUUUUUGUUUUUUGUUUUUUGUUUUUAAUACUUUUGUAAUUACAGUGUACUGAAAAGGGAGUGGAAAAAUCACCACCCUUAAUUAUCCGUUUAACAAUAAGACAUGUCAAAUCACGGAGUGGAAAGAUCACAACCCUAAAUUGAUUCAUUUUAUGUUGAAAUUCAAACGUGUUUAAUACAGAAAAUUCAUUUCUAUAUUGACGAUGCCCAACAAAAACAAAAAAAAAUUGUCAAAGGAAACGAUUUCAUUACCAAAUUAUAUCGGCUGUUGCAACACGUGGGAAGAUCUUUUCGUUAACUUGACUUUUUCCGGGUGUAUGCAAUAUUUUCCCAGUCCGAAUUCAUGCAUAUGUGAAGGUUUCUCAACCCCCCUCCCUUUCUUUUGGUUGUAAAAUAUCACCAAUUAUGUGGUUGUUUACUUAAUAUUUUUAUUAAUUAAUUUCUUUAAAAUUGGGGAAUUUAAGGGUAGCAUCCAAGUAACUUUUAACUCUUAUAUAAAAAGAAGUCUAAAGAUAAAGAAAAGACAUACUCAAUUUUAUCUAACUUUUUUUUUUUUAUCAAAUCAAAAUUUUUUUGUUUAGAACUGUAUGGGUGGGAGAAAUGUAAAUUUGUUGUUUUUAUUCUAAUUUUUAAGUUUGGUCUUUUCAUUUUACCCUGGUUUAAUAAUUCAUUUUUCUUUUAAAAUAUUAGCUAAGCAAGACAUUUGUUGGAAGAGAUUUUCUAUUUAAACCCCACACUUCUCUUUGUUCACAUCAUGUUAAGUUCACCCUAAGGAUACUUCAUGUUUAAAACUUUACAAAAGUUUACAAAACUCAAUAGGUCGGAUGAAAAUAAAACUAUUGUGACAAAAUAUCUAAUAGUAAGAGAUCAAUAUACAUCAAAUGAACCGAUAAGCUCUUUCCAAUUGUCAGUGCAAUCUCGAUAUAGACUAUACCAAUCAAAUACUUUGAGGUUGGAAUUAUUUAGUUGUGUCAAAAUACUUUCUAUCCUAAUACUAUGGCUUGGAGUAAAAGUAUUUUGUUGUGUGCCACAAAAAAAGAAAAGAAACAUAACUCCAAUUAAAGAUUACUAUGCUAUAGAACACAUUAGAACUCCAAGAGAUUGCUUUGAUCCAUUACAGUAAUUCAAUAAAUUUUUGAUUGUCUUUUGUAUACAAUAACUCAAUAAAAUUAGAUGCGUGUUGAGCAAUAACUUGAGUGCAAAUAGUUUUAUCUGAAUUCAGAAAUAAUAUUGCAUAAGUGAGAAUAUACUCUGGCAUAGGCAGCUCUGCAUUCUCCAACAGACAUUUUGUAUGUCAUUUAAAUAAACACUACAAACUAUAGAAAAAGCAUAUAUCUAAACUGAAUAGUGGGGGAAAAGAUGAAGAAGGCCCCUAUUUUUUGAGAAGAAGAUGAAAGUUCCCAUGCUUGCCUCAAGAUAGACAGACUCGCUAACUAUUACAGUAUAUCGUUUACUGUCGAUGGAAAGAAAUCCUAGACCAAAUAAAAAUUUCUAAAUUAGAAAUUAAAUGAGGAGAUAAUUAUUGCAUUGUAGACAAGAGGGUGCAACUUACCUUGGCAAGACCAAAUUUCACUUACACAAAGGUACAGUAAUCAUCUACUGUCUACUUUUGAGCAUAUAAGAAGUUAAGUAAAUAUAAAAUUCUAAAUCAGAAAAAAAAAAAAAAAAACUAAGCAAUCAACAGUCAAGCAAUAAACAAAGGAAAGAGAAUAAGAUCAUUAUAGCCGAGCCUUUCCAUUAGCUCCUAUGCAGAUUUUAAAGAAGUAGGCUCCUCAAUGUUCUACAUCUUUAAAAGAGAAGAGUAAUGUGGCAAUAUGAUUAAGAGGAGUUUGUAUUUUUCUAAAACUUAAUAUGAAGAGUGAUGGGGUGUAUGUAUAGAUGUACUAGGGUUAAGUAUUAAGUUGGAUGACCGUUUUUGUCUUUUUAUAUAAUAAUAAAACUUACAGCUUAAUGAUUUAAGUAUUGGGGGUGAACAAAGAGAAAUGUGGGGUUUAAAUAGAAAAUCUCUUGUUGGAAUAACUUUUGACAAAUAGAUGAAGACUUAUGUUGCAUAAAGUUAAGCACGUGAUUGACCAAAAAAAAGUUAAGUGCAUGUGAGCGAUUUUUCAAAUUAAUAUAUUGAUCAUUAAUGUAUGUGUGACUCGUAUUUUAUCAACAAUUAGAGAUUUCUUACACACUCUCUUACGUAGUGUCAGUUUGGCAUUGCUUAUUUGGAAUGAUAAGUGAUUUUUAAAAAAAAAUUGGGAAGCCCAGCUUGUUUGGUAAAUUAUGAAAAAAAAUCACUUAUUGUUAAAAAUUGUUGUUAAAGAACGCUAUAAGGGAAAACAGCUAAUUAAGUGCUUUUAUUUUCUGAUUGUGCACCCAGAAAAUCUUUCACUUUCUCAUAGUAAAUCUGACAACGAUUAUUUUCACAACACAGCAAUGCCAAACUGGCCCGUACUUACCUUCACAAAACCUUUUGUAAAAGUAACACAAAAAUUUCACUCUUUUAUUCAUGUGGAGCUAGAAGUUCCUUCUUUUUGCUAUAAAAUAAUUGGGAGGGAUCAAAUAUAACACACAAAUAACUGAUCUAAACCAAGGUCACACACAUCCGCCCACGGGUUUAGCAAUAGAUUAGAUGCUGGCCUUCUAAUUUGACCAUGUUCCAAUUAUUUAUUCUAGUAAUCAUUCACUUCUUUUAACAAUAAAAAAGAACAAGAAAAAAAGGGCAAAGCUUGAAAAGUUGGAACCUUGCCUCAACUUUUGAGAGUUAAAAUUCCUGAAUAUUGGGUUAGAUCGAUCACACCAUUAUGUGUAUGUAGAUUUGUUCGCAUAAUCCUUGUUGCUCUAGUUUUUUUUAAUUAAAAAAAAAGACAUUCCUCAUCAAAUACUUGUAUAUUUUGUUUAAUAAUUUUCCCAGAUGUUAAGAGUGUAGCAUUUUUUUCGUUAAAAAUCUGAUAGCCAAGACUUGAAAAAUAAAUAGUUUGAAUCGUUGAAAACAAAAUUUGUUGGAACCUAAAACGUGUCCCUUAACUAAUUAUUUGAAGCUAUUAUGAUCAUUGACAUCCUCCAUUUCCACACCUCCAUGUAACCCCCAAGCUACAUUCUAGAAACAAUGCGAUACCUCCAGAGGCCAAAUGGCACCAUGUCACUUGAUCCGAGUCAUUUUAUAGUAAGGAUCUAAGAGCAUCCAUAAUAGUUGUUCAAUAAUUCAAUGCAAUAGUUCAAUAAAUAUAACUAUUUUUGCAUCUAUUGAAUUGAAUUAUAGUUUUACUUGCAAUGGUAUAGUUCAAUAGCUUCAAAUCAAUUUACAUACUCAAAUAAAAUAAAAUAGAGAAAUAAAAUAACAUUAAAAAUUGUGCAAUUUAAAUAUUCAAAGAGAUCUUUAAAAAGAGAAUAAUUUUAAAUAUUUGAAUUAUUAUUAUUUUUUUUUGGAAAAAAUCUUCCUUCGGCAUGCAAAGUCUUUAGUCGCGGGCCCGCACCAUAGAAUUCUUGCACUUGACCUCCACGCUCAUUUUUCUGGGGCUCAUCCGCUUCGUACUAUAUAUCCAAACUCAAACCCACAAUCCCUUCUCUCAAGAAGCUCUUCUUCUCCUUCUCCAUCUCAACAGCAAUGGCUUCUGCUUCUCCUGCUAAGAAGGUAACGACCACCACUGUUCAGCUCUUUUUUUGAUUUCGACUAUUUUUUUGUGUGUGUGUGUGUGUUUGUAAGAGUGAGAUUGAGUGUGAAAGUGGAAGCAGGUUUUGGUUCCGAUUGCGAAUGCCACGGAGCGGAUUGAGGCGGUGACCAUCAUCGACGUUCUGCGUAGAGCUGGAGCAGAUGUUACUGUGGCUUCUGUGGAGAAGCAGCUUCGCGUUGAAGCCUGCAAUGGCGUGAUCAUCUCUGAUGUUUUGAUUUCCGAUUGUAGCAAAAGUGACUUCGAUCUCAUCGCUCUACCCGUACAUACUUACUCUCUCUCUCUCUCUCUCUCUCUCUCUCUCUCUCUCUCUCUAUAUAUAUAUAUAUAUAUCAUUGUGUUUGUAUUAGAACUUUGAAUUUUGCAGCUUGUUUGGUUGCUGACAAAAGUAGACAUGAAAAUGAAAAUUUUUGCUAACAUUACUUAUUACUUAUCCACAAAACAAGAAAACACAAGAAUAUUGUGGAACAAACUUGGGAUUUUUUUAGUUUGUAGUUCGCGAUUGAGAGCAGAUGAAAGUGAGUUCGUAGUUCGCUAACUUGUAUUUAGUUUUGUUGAGUGUAGGCUUUUGGUUGCUCAUGCCCAAUGACCAUAGAUAUAUAUGCAUAAGAUUACAUGUGUUGCUUAAUGGCACUAUUUUAUUUUCCAAGCAAUGUCCCAGUGCACCCAAACUGCCAAUUAAAGGGAUGUUUUCGUGUAACUUCGAUGUCAUCCAUAACAUAUCAGGGUUGGAGGAACUCUUAUUAUCUUCGUUUGCUUGUAUUAUUCCUUCUCUCCAGCUUCUCUUAUUGUGCUUUAUUGCUUGCUUAUUGCAAUGUGCUGACUCCUCUUUAGUUUAGCUCCAACUGAAUUUGACUUUAUCUAUUUUUUUGGUGCUACAGGGAGGUGUUCUAGGUGCUGCCAAUCUUAAGAAUAAUGAGGUUCUGGAAAGCUUGGUGAAGAAGCAGGCCGCAGAUGGGAAGCUCUAUGCGGCGAUCUGUGCUUCACCUGCAAUGGCAUUUGGAACAUGGGGUGUGUUGAAAGAACUGAAAGUAAGAUCUCUUAGCACGCACCUGCCAAUAUUUCAUUAUUUGUUAUGUAUGCAUAUUAAAAUUAUAAAUUGCAUUGGUUUUUGACAGGCAACUGGCCAUCCAUUAUUUAUGGAGCAAUUAGCAUCUAGCGCAAUCGCUGUUGAAUCAAGAGUGCAGGUGGAUGGCAAAGCUGUGACUAGUCGUGGACCGGGUACUGCCAUGGAGUUUGCUGUUGCCCUGGUUGAGCAAUUGUAUGGGAAAGAAAAGGCUGAUGAAGUAUCUGAUUUCCUGGUAUAUACUUUCUCAAUAUCCUUCUUUUUGGCUGGUUGUCAUAUUCUACUGGUGGAUUUCUUGUCAAUUGAUUUCAAAGCCAUUCGUUGUCUGGGAAAAUGAAAAUAAAUAUGAUCUGCUAUGAUCUCGCUUUCACCUGUUACCUUUGGGCUUGUGAUAUGCGUGUGUAACUGUAUUUUUUGUACUCAGGUCAUGCGUUCCAACCACGGGGAUGAAUACAUCAUAACUGAGCUAAACCCAGUUGAGUGGACUCCCAAUGAUUCCCCAAAGGUGAACAUUUGAUUUACAUAUGCAAAUUUGCCUAAGAUUAUUUCAGGUUUCCACAAGUUACCUAUGAAUUGAGAGUGGUAGUAAAAAUUUCGCAAAUGAGCAACGAUAAUUUGGGACAUGACAGUAAGAAUUAUUGACUUGACUUAAGGUGCUAUAUAAUGUAGUGUAUAAACUCUUUCGUGUGUUUUAUCCUUUAGAUUCUUGUACCUAUUGCAAACGGCACAGAGGAAAUGGAAGCUGUUAUGAUCAUUGAUAUUCUACGACGAGCCAAAGCAAAUGUUGUGGUGGCCUCUGUGGAGGAUCAACUAGAAAUUCUUGCUUCUUGCAAAGUAAAACUGGAGGCAGAUGUGCUCCUUGACGAAGCUGCCAAACUUUCAUAUGACCUAAUUGUUUUGCCUGUAAGUAGGGUUUCCAGCUCGCUUUUGUUUACUAUUUACAAAUUGAUAAGCCUAAACCUAAUUUUUUUUUUUUUUAACCCUUCAGGGUGGACUUAGUAGUGCACCAACAUUUGCAAAAUCAGAAAAGCUCGUGAAUAUGUUAAAAAAGCAGAGGGAUUCACAGAGACCUUAUGGAGCCAUAUGUGCCUCCCCAGCUCUAGUUUUGGAACCCCAUGGCUUACUCAAGGUAUCCCCUAUAAAAUGUUUUGAGAACUAACCAUUAUGCUUCUUGCAUUGUACAAACUCAUUACAAGAACUUAUUUUAUUUUCCUUUCAAUCCAGGGUAAAAAGGCCACAGCGUUCCCCCCAGUGUCCGACAAGCUGUCGGAUACGAGUGAAAUCGAGAAAAGGGUAGUGAUUGAUGGCAACCUCAUCACCAGCAAAGGAGCAGGAACUUCCAUGGAGUUUGCUCUAGGAAUUGUUGAGAAGUUUUUCGGGCGCAAGGAAGCAAUAGAGAGUGCGAAGAUAAUGGUUUUCGUUCAUCCUUAGAGUUUAUAUUCG